GCUCUGACAGCUACCAGUCUGAGCCCUGCUCUGCUCCUCCACAGCUGUAGGCUGCAGCCCUGACAGUCAUCCCAGCCAUCUACUGCCUGCACAAGUCCACCCAGCUGCUUGAGGAUUCCAGGGAAGUAGGAGGGCUGAUUAGGCAGUGCUUUGACAUCUUUGGAAAUAUAAUGACAGAGAAAAAGCAAGGGCUGUGCUCUGCAGCAGCCUGGAGCCAUCUGCUGGGACAGCUGGGAGCAAUUGGAAGUUACCAACAAGACAAAGCUUCCUGUCAGGGAAGCUGCUGCCCCUGUGGAGCACUGCACACUACUCCAUGGUCGGAGGGAGAGGGGAGUGCCAGCUCCAGCUGUGCAAAGCCCUCAAGGGGGAGUCACUCAGGCUGGAGCUGAAAGAGACCAUACCUGCUGCACAUACCAAGAGAUUAGAAAAGAAGCAGAGAGUGUAGCUGUGGGUGAGUUUCUGCUGAGGCACCUAUCUGAUGGGCUUAUAUACAGUCAACAGAAGUUUACUGCUUGGACAGGAGCUGAAAUCUGGGGUGUCACAGAGAGACUGCCACCACAUGUUAAAAGCACAGACUAUGAUCACCUAAUGCUUUUCCAUGUGGACACCAAUGGCACAGUGAAAAAACAACCCAGGAAAGUUCAAGGAGAACUUCAGAGCCCUGGUAGCACAAGUGAAGAGGAUGGGGCCCAAAUAGUCUUAUCUUGCCAGUCAGAGACAGAGGUGUGGGCAGAAGUGGACACGUCAUGCAAGUCAACACCUGGCUUUGUGGCUGGUGUCAUCACCAGGGCAUUGGCUUCUAUGAUAGUGGAACAUUUUUUUUUUAUGAAUACAAAUUACUAAGGAGAGAUGGGAUACCCCUAUCUCAAAGACCAGGUGAAUCUUCACUGGAAAAUUCAUCGACAGUGAAUUGCACUAUGCACUAAUGAAUUGGGGAGUGCGUUGCAAAGUCACAACCCUUGUGUACUCACAAGCAACGGAAUGGAAGAACACACCUACAGCAGUGACACACAGCCCCAAACACUCCAAAUAGGUUCCAUGAAAAAGACGAGAGUCAACAGUCCAACCAAUUGCAUCUCUAUACCAAUGCAUACAAUAUGGGUAACAAAAAAGAAGAGCUGGAAGACACAAUGGAGCUGGAAAUCUUUUAUCUGAUCACUAUCGAUGAAACCUGGUUGGAUGAAAUCACAUGACUGGAAUGCUGCAAUUGAUGGUUAUAAAAUGUUCUUGAGGAACAGAGGUAGAGGGACUUGCUUUCUACCUAAACAGAUGGAUUGAUUGCACAGAUCUUUCUUUGAAAAGCAGUAAUGCACAGGUCAGGGGCUUAUAGUAAAAAUCAGAGAUCAUGACAACAAAGGAAAUCUUGUGACUGGUAUUUAACAAAGAGUACCUGAUCAAGGGGAGGAUGUCAAUGAAAUGUUCUCACUUCAACUACAGGAAGCAUCAUGCCUGCAGGACCUGCUCCUGAUAGAGUAUUUCAGCCCCCCUGACAUCUGCAGAAAAAGUAGCACAGCAAUCUGCAAGCGGUUCUGGUAACUUUAGGAAUGCUUGGAGGACAACUUUCUAAUCCAGGUGAUAGUAAGCCUAGCCAGAGGAGAUGCAUUAAAUCUGUUGCUCACCAAUACAGAUGAACUUAUUGGAAAGGCCAAGAUUGGUGGUAUCUUGAGCUACAGUGAUCAUGCUCUUAUGGAACUCAUGAUCUCAAGGGAUAUAGAUUAGUAAUAUCUAAAGCAAAUAGUAAAGAUCCUGAAAUUUGUAAAAGUGAAAUGUCAGUCUUCUAAAGGAUCUGGUAGAUGGGAACCCUGGGAAACUGCCUCCAGGGAUAAAGACAUUUUUAUUAGAACUCAAGAAGUAUCAAUUCCUAUGCAUAAGAAGUCAGGCAAAGAAGGCAAGAGAUGAGCAUAACUGAGUAAGGACCUUCUAGCCCAACUGAAACACAAGAGGGAAAUACAUAGGCACUGGAAGCAGGGACACACAUUCCAGAAAGAAUGUAGAGACAGUGCUCAAGAACGUAGGGAUGGGAUUCAGGAAAGCAAAGGCAUAGCUGGAUCUAAAUUUGUCAAGUUAUAUGUAGAAAAAGAGCUUCUACAGAUAUGUUAGUCAGAAAGGAAAGACGAAAGAGAACAGCCCCCCACUCACCAAUAAAUGAGGCAGAGGAUCUAGUGGCAAUGGACAUGGGGAGGCUAAGGUAUUUUAGAACAUUUUCCUCAAUUUUAGCCAGAAACUGUUCUUCCCAUGUCUCUUGAGUCCCUGGAUCUCAAGGCAGAGGGUUCCUGGAACCCAGUGUACCUGACAGUACACAAAUCCAGAGGACCUGGUUAGAUGCAUUCUAGGAUCCUGAGGCACUUGUCCAAUGUGGUCUCAAAGCCAGUAUCCACCAUACUUGAAUCAUGAUCAGGUGAAGUAACCUGUGGCUGGAAAAAGGGAAAUAUCACGCUGAUAUUUAAAAAGGAUAAAAAAGAAGGACCCUGGAACUACUGAUCAGUCAGCCUCACCUCUGUACCCAGUAAGAUCACAGACGAGCUCCUCCUAGAAGCUGUGUCAAGGCAUAUAAAUGACAGGAAGUGAAUAGAGAUGGCCAAUAUGUCUCCACCAAGGACAAAUGGUGCUUGACUAAUCUAGUGGCUUUCUGCAAAAGAGAAACUAUGUUGAUGAAUAAGUUAGGAGCAGUUGUUGUCAUCUACCUUAAUUUCUGUAAGGCUUUUCACAUGAUCCCACAUAACAUUUUGUUGCUAAAUUGUAGAGAUAUGGGGUUAAUGGACAUACUAUUCAAUGGAUAAGAAAUUGAAUCAAAAUCAAAAGUCUUAAUCAAAAGUGUUGCAAUCAACAACUCGGUAUCCAAAUGGAGAUCGGUACAGAAGAGAUGUCUCUCAGAAGACUGUACCAGGACUUGUACUGUUCAAUAUCUUUAUUAAGGAAAAUGGGAAAAUGGUUUAAAAUUGAGAAAGUGUAGGUUUAGAUUGGAUAUACAGAAGAAAGUAUUUGCUAUGAGGGGUGAGAUGCUGGAACAGGUUGCCCAGAGAAGUUGCAAAUGGCCCAUGACCUCACCUAAUGAAAGAUGUCCCUCCUCACACCAGGGGAUUUGGAAUUCAAAAAUACAGCACUGAUGAUGAACUGAAAUCCCAGGCCAUACUGAAGAACAUUUGAAUCCAAAAUUAGAUGUUUCUUCAAAAAUGGAACAUCAAAUAAACUCUCAAACUAUACAUAGGCAGCAGGCAUGAUACUUCUGUCAUGAAUGACUCAUUAGGAAGGAGUGGGAUGCCAUCCUCCUCCGUGCAGACACUGCGGAUCUCGGCGCCUGGAGAGAUGGACAAACCCACAGGGUCACAGCCCCCUUCAGGUGCCACCACCUGCUCUGCCAUGGGGUCCCCCAGGACUGCAGGGGCACAGCCUGUCACCCUGUGGUCUGCACCACGGGCUGUAUAAAUAGGAGAAAUCUUGGUAAACUUCACUUUGUCCUUUUUAUAAUGUGCUGAGUUUUAGGAAGGCAAGCUGAGCUUUUGAAAGUGCUUUUUGAGUUGAAUAUUACUGAGUAAAAUAGUUGAACAUUUAAGAAAUUUUUUUGAGUCUCACAAGAAUUCUAUUAACUAGGGUCUAGUGCAUAACGAAAAUAGUUUCCUCAUUUUUUGCCUUCAGAGAGCUCAUUUUUUAAAUCCAAAUAUAAUCUAAGUUGGAAUAAAAACUGAUGUGGUAACAACAAUCUUAUUAGACACAAUCUUUAAAUUUAUAAUUUUGAUAGUAAAAUGUUUUAUUGUGGAAAUUCAGCUUUUGGAACUUUGGAACAUCUGAAUUUAAGUUAGUGCUUUUAAACUGUACUGCAGAGACUAUAUGGUGUAAGAGAGGCAAGCUCCAUUAAAGAAGAGACAAAAGUUAGGUUCAUGGUACUAGGGGCUCAGUGUGACAUUUAUCUAAUGAAGCUUCAGACGUCUUCCGGAGAGACAUCUGUGCUUGCUGUCAUCAUAGGAUCUACCUCCAUAUGUCCAAUGGAAAGGAACCAACACUUUUAUGCUCUUACAACCUAUUUGUAAUUACUUCUUUAGUGACAUGAAUCAUACAUGUUUUCUUCAGAACCUAAAAAAGUUUUGUGAGGUAUCUGAGAUGUAUUUCUGUAUCUUGCAGUAUUUUGGAGAGUGGAGGAUCCUUUUUGGAAGAUAUAUAAAUCCUUCUUGUAUAAGUAUUAAUGACAAAGUCAUCUGUAACUGAGAAAGAAAUGGAACUGAUAACUUAUGCUGUUUCAUGGGUAAUGUCUAUACAAGUAAAAAAAUUGGUUCAGAACAUGAGCUCAUAACAGUCUGUGAUUGUGGGCACUCUCUAAAUUUUAGCACAGUUUUAGUCCAUUGAAUGGUUUGUGCCAAACAGUCUCCCAGACAAUUGCUGCACUAUCAAGGUAACUGCAUGUUUCAGGGGCCAUUCUCAGUUUGGAUCUGGCCGCCCUCUUUUGAGGGGAAAAAAGUGCCUGAUGAUACACUAUUUAACAUGACCUUACUUGCCAGAGGGUUUCCAUUGCAUGGCUCAAUUUCUACUGUAGGCAUUUCCUUUCAGUCCAUACAUUAUUGCAAGAGUAAUGGCAAAGCAAAGACAAAAUGGUUCCAUUUCUUCUAAACCAUUUUGGUACAGAUCUUCCUAGGAACUUCUAGAAAUCUAAGGUCUUGUGUAAUGUCACAUAAAUUUUGCAAUUUAUUUUAUACAAUCUCUAACAAUUUCAUGGCAUUUCUGUCUUGUAUCUGAAGAGGAAAUAUGCACUUCUUUUGCAAGUGAAGCUCCUAUAGACUCCACUGAGAAUUCCACCAAUGGAUAUCAAGAAGAAUUAGUUCACUAGUGAUUUCCUGUGACAUAAUUAAACUUUAUAUCAUCAAAACCCUGUAGGUCUAAGCAACUUCUAACUCUAAAGCUGUAAGGAGACAUGUAAACAACACCUCGGGAACAUAUUUAAAAGGGAAUGGUGAUUUUUCAGAUACAGUCAAAAAUGCAGCUGUAGCCUUUUUCUUUUUUUUUUCUCCCCCCCCCCCCCCCCCCCCCCCCCAACUAACAAAACACAUCAAACAGCAAAGGAGAAAGAUAGAAGAGGAAAAAAAUUUCAAUGAUUUUGGAAAUGACAAAUAUUUUUUCCCAUGAGGAAGGAAGGAAAAUAUUGUGAGAAUGGAAAUUUCUCUAGCUGGAGGUGUAAACCCCAAAACUAAUAACAAUUUUUUUUUUAUCAUGCAUGCAGAUACAGACAAAAUGAAGUGAUAUUUUAAAAGAGAAUGAAAAAUUAAUAUAUGCUGUUUAAAUUGUUAAGCAAAUGUUACAUUAUUUUAUGAAAUUUUAUGUUUUGCACAUUACUAGAAGUGAAAUAUACUAUAAAGAAGUAAAGAAAAUAUACCAGCAAAAAAUAUGGCCCAUCCUGAUGUUGGCUAACUGCCUGAAACCAUGAUUUGCAUCCAAGGAAAUCUAAACUGCAUAAGCUAGCUCUGCAAUUGACCGUGUCAUUCCCUACAUUGCUUUUAUUAUUACAUAAAAUAUAUCAGAAUCUCAGUGAGAAGUGUUUCAUUUGAGAAUUGACAGUCUUCUACCUUAACAUAAAAUCAGCCAGUACACAGACAUCAAGGUGGUGUUGCAGUAAGUGGUGUUGCAGUAGAGAAACUGUGUUCAGAAAGGCAAAUUUACUAAGCAAAGAAGAGGAGAAGGAGCACAAAAAUGUCUGAAUCCUCACAAUGAAAUAGAUCUCAGCAAGAUCCAGCAUGAACUUAAUCCCCUUCUUUCUUUUGUAUGCUUAUUUCCUAGUGAAAAUAUUCUGACAUAUCUCUUCUGGAAGUGACAUAUAUUGUUUAAUUUCCAAAAUAAAUUAAUGGUCAAUGUGAA